rnacentral:rRNA from 1 species
AAUAGAUACCCCGGUAGUCCACGCCGUAAACGGUGGGCACUAGGUGUGGGCGACAUUCCACGUCGUCCGUGCCGCAGCUAACGCAUUAAGUGCCCCGCCUGGGGAGUACGGCCGCAAGGCUAAAAACUCAAAGGAAUUGACGGGGGCCCGCACAAGCGGCGGAGCAUGUGGCUUAAUUCGACGCAACGCGAAGAACCUUACCAAGGCUUGACAUACACCGGAAACGUCCAGAGAUGGGCGCCCCCUUGUGGUCGGUGUACAGGUGGUGCAUGGCUGUCGUCAGCUCGUGUCGUGAGAUGUUGGGUUAAGUCCCGCAACGAGCGCAACCCUUGUCCCGUGUUGCCAGCAGGCCCUUGUGGUGCUGGGGACUCACGGGGAGACCGCCGGGGGUCAACUCGGAGGAAGGUGGGGACGACGUCAAGGUCAUCAUGCCCCUUAUGUCUUGGGCUGCACACGUGCUACAAUGGCCGGUACAAUGAGCUGCGAUACCGCGAGGUGGAGCGAAUCUCAAAAAGCCGGUCUCAGUUCGGAUUGGGGUCUGCAACG